CUCUCGUUUUUCAGGUUCUUUAUCCAUAUUUUUUUCAUCGUUAUUCUCGUGAAAUGCAUAUGAGACAGCAGAGCAGAUACAGUGAUUUGUCCCGCACCUGGCAUCGCUGGACCUCCGCGAUCGCGGCACUAUUGUCCGCAAUUAGCUACAUAGAUCACCGGCUUAGUUUGAUUCUAAUCCUGCUAGAUUUACCGUUUUUUCUAGUCAAUUUUGCUAUGAAUUUGUGUUUUACUGUUGUUUUUGGCGUAAAUUUGAUCUUAUUUGUGUUUUAA